rnacentral:rRNA from 1 species
UACGGAGGAUGCGAGCGUUAUCCGGAUUUAUUGGGUUUAAAGGGUGCGUAGGCGGACAAAUAAGUCAGUGGUGAAAUCACUCAGCUUAACUGAGUAACUGCCAUUGAUACUGUUAGUCUAGAAUGUAAAUGGAGUAGGCGGAAUGAAUCAUGUAGAGGUGACAUUCAUAGAUAUGAUUCAGAACACCGAUCGCGAAGGCAGCUUGCUAAGAUACAAUUGACGCUGAUGCACGAAAGCGUGGGUAGCAAACAGGAUUAGAUACCCUGGUAGUCCACGCUGUAAACGAUGAUAACUCGUUGUCGGCGAUACACAGUCGGUGACUGAGCGAAAGCGAUAAGUUAUCCACCUGGGGAGUACGAUCGCAAGGUUGAA